rnacentral:rRNA from 1 species
AGGGGCAGCGGAGAGGUAGCAAUACCUUUGCCGGCGACCGGCGCACGGGUGAGUAACACGUAUGCAAUCCACCUGUAACAGGGGGAUAACCCGGAGAAAUCCGGACUAAUACCCCAUAAUAUGGGCGUUCCGCAUGGAGAGCUCAUUAAAGAGAGCAAUUUUGGUUACAGACGAGCAUGCGCUCCAUUAGCCAGUUGGCGGGGUAACGGCCCACCAAAGCGACGAUGGAUAGGGGUUCUGAGAGGAAGGUCCCCACAUUGGAACUGAGACACGGUCCAAACUCC